CAAUAUUUUGAAUGGUGGACGUGUUUUAUUCUUUUUGGAUUCAAAAGAUAAAAAUGCUUUUAUACACCUUUAAGUAGGCCUACUGGGUCAAAGCCCCUCGGUUUUCUAAUAACAGGAAACAGCAGAAGAAGAGCAGGCUGGACUAUUUUCUGUGGAAAAGUCAACAACAAGACAAAGUCAGUUGCAGCAGAUUACUCUUGCUCCUCCAUGAAGCCCAAUACCUCUGGGAGAGCGCAGAGAAGAGGGCAGCUACACCUGCGGCUGCUGAACAAGUGUAUCACUGUCUGACUGCUCUGUCCCGGCUUGUCGGGCCCUCUCACCUGGAAUGUGCCGAUGAGACAAUCAGGUGCAAUAGGCGCGUGGCAGCUUGCUGCAGGGAGGAAUAACCUGCUCUGAGGCGAAGAGCAAAGAGCGCCGAAAGACUUUCCACCCCUCGUCCACACAUCUCUUAAACCCCAGAGACGUGCCAAUACAGAGACAGCCGGGCCAUGUGACACAUCUGUGAGCACUGUAGCUGACUUCUAAACAGAUCCUCUCCCAAAGUAAUGUCUGUAGAUUCAUCACGGAGUAGGCUUGUUUGACUAUCCCGGCAUGACUCACUCAAAAGGGUGGAGUGCUAUGAGAUUUUGUUUAGCCUGAGGGAGAAAAAAAAUUCAUUUCUAUCAGGAAAAAGGUCAUGAGCAAUGUUCUAGCUUCACAGGAAACGCAUCAACGCACAUAAUUGGAUAACCUAUCAGUUUUGGGGGCACCGUGAUUGAAGUGACACUAUUUGCCUGUGAUAUUUGGUCAGCUGGAUUGGAAGUGAAUGAAAAAUGCCGUACGCCAAGUAGCUCUUCGGCUGCAGGGACCAACUGUUGCAUUAAUCUUGUAUUUGCUUGUGGUUGCAAUAAAUAUUUAAAUAUAUUUUGAGGCUUAGAUGACAGCAUUAGAAUAUAUAUAGCUGUAUAUUUAUGUGUAUGUAUAAGCUGCUAAAUCGAAUUAUCCGAGAUGAAUAAAAAUAACAUUCCUAAA